GGCAGGCAUGCGCGGGGUGAACCGUUGGCUGCCUUGACCGGCGGCAGCGAGCGAUCGUCAAACUCAACGACCCGGGGCCUGCGCGCAG
ncrna:unclassified sequences DTF3800-VII RNA